rnacentral:ncRNA from 1 species
CUCUUAUUAAGAGAGGUGGAGGGAAGUGCCCUAUGAAGCCCGGCAACCGUCACAGUUUGUGAUAUGGUGCCAAUUCACACAAAGUGUAAACUUUGGAAGAUGAGAG